GACGAACGCUGGCGGCGUGCUUAACACAUGCAAGUCGAACGGAAAGGCCUGCUUUCCCUUGUGGAUUGCGGGUGCUCGAGUGGCGAACGGGUGAGUAACACGUGAGUGAUCUGCCCCCAACUUGGGUAUAAGCCUGGGAAACUGGGUCUAAUUCCCGAUAGGACUGCAGGGUGGUGCCUGUGGUGGAAAACGAUUUUCUAGUGGUUGGGGAUGAGCUCGCGGCCUAUCAGCUUGUUGGUGGGGUAAUGGCCUACCAAGGCGGCGACGGGUAGCCGGCCUGAGAGGGUGGACGGCCCCAUUGGGACUGAGAUACGGCCCAGACUCCUACGGGAGGCAGCAGUGGGGAAUAUUACACAAUGGGCGGAAGCCUGAUGCAGCGACGCCGCGUGGGGGAUGACGGCCUUCGGGUUGUAAACUCCUUUCGACCGCGAGGAAGCCACCUGGUUGGAAGGGUGGUGACGGUAGUGGUAGAAGAAGCACCGGCUAACUACGUG
rnacentral:rRNA from 1 species